rnacentral:rRNA from 1 species
GCUAUUGCAUCGGGGUCCGAUUCAGCCAUGCUAGUUGUACGGGUUUAGACCCGUAGCAAAUAGCUCCGUAACACGUGGUCAAACUACCCUCUGGACCGGAAUACCCUCGGGAAACUGAGGCUAAUUCCGGAUACUGCUUUCAUGUUGGAACACAGAAAGUCGGAAACGGUCCGCCGCCGGAGGACGUGACUGCGGCCGAUUAGGUAGACGGUGGGGUAACGGCCCACCGUGCCGAUAAUCGGUACGGGUUGUGAGAGCAAGAACCCGGAGACGGUAUCUGAGACAAGAUACCGGGCCCUACGGGGCGCAGCAGGCGCGAAACCUUUACACUGCACGCCAGUGCGAUAAGGGGACCCCGAGUGCGAGGGCAUACAGUCCUCGCUUUUCGUGACCGUAAGAAGGUCUCAGAAUAAGAGCUGGGCAAGACCGGUGCCAGCCGCCGCGGUAAUACCGGCAGCUCGAGUGAUAGCCACUAUUAUUGGGCCUAAAGCGUCCGUAGCCGGCCGAACAGGUCCGUCGGGAAAUCCACCUGCUCAACAGGUGGACGUCCGGCGGAAACCAGUCGGCUUGGGGCCGGGAGACCAGAGAGGUACGUCCGGGGUAGGAGUGAAAUCCCGUAAUCCUGGACGGACCGCCGGUAGCGAAAGCGUCUCUGGAGAACGGACCCGACGGUGAGGGACGAAAGCUUGGGUCUCGAACCGGAUUAGAUACCCGGGUAGUCCAAGCUGUAAACGAUGCUCGCUAGGUGUGGCGUUGGCUACGAGCCAGCGCUGUGCCGUAGGGAAGCCGAGAAGCGAGCCGCCUGGGAAGUACGUCCGCAAGGAUGAAACUUAAAGGAAUUGGCGGGGGGAGCACUACAACCGGAGGAGCCUGCGGUU